AACGAACGCUGGCGGCAUGCCUAACACAUGCAAGUCGAACGAGACCUUCGGGUCUAGUGGCGCACGGGUGCGUAACGCGUGGGAACCUUCCCUCAGGUUCGGAAUAACUCUCCGAAAGGGGUGCUAAUACCGGAUAAUGUCUUCGGCCCAAAGAUUUAUCGCCUUUGGAUGGGCCCGCGUUGGAUUAGCUAGUUGGUAGGGUAAAAGCCUACCAAGGCGACGAUCCAUAGCUGGUCUGAGAGGAUGAUCAGCCACACUGGGACUGAGACACGGCCCAGACUCCUACGGGAGGCAGCAGUGGGGAAUAUUGGACAAUGGGCGAAAGCCUGAUCCAGCAAUGCCGCGUGAGUGAUGAAGGCCUUAGGGUUGUAAAGCUCUUUUACCCGGGAUGAUAAUGACAGUACCGGGAGAAUAAGCUCCGGCUAACUCCGUG
rnacentral:rRNA from 1 species